UGAGAGGUUGAACGGCCACAUUGGGACUGAGACACGGCCCAGACUCCUACGGGAGGCAGCAGUGGGGAAUAUUGCACUAUCGGGGAAACCCUGAUGCAGCGACGCCGCGUGAGCGAUGAAGUAUUUCGGUAUGUAAAGCUCUAUCAGCAGGGAAGAAAAUGACGGUACCUGACUAAGAAGCACCGGCUAAAUACGUGCCAGCAG
rnacentral:rRNA from 1 species